UAAAUCAGUUAUCGUUUAUUUGAUAGUACCUUACUACUUGGAUAACCGUGGUAAUUCUAGAGCUAAUACAUGCUAAAAAUCCCGACCUCUGGAAGGGAUGUAUUUAUUAGAUAAAAAACCAAUGCCCUUCUGGGCUCCUUGGUGAUUCAUGAUAACUUUACGAAUCGCAUGGCCUUGUGCCGGCGAUGGUUCAUUCAAAUUUCUGCCCUAUCAACUUUCGAUGGUAGGAUAGUGGCCUACCAUGGUUUCAACGGGUAACGGGGAAUUAGGGUUCGAUUCCGGAGAGGGAGCCUGAGAAACGGCUACCACAUCCAAGGAAGGCAGCAGGCGCGCAAAUUACCCAAUCCCGACACGGGGAGGUAGUGACAAGAAAUACUGAUACAGGGCCCAUCUGGGUCUUGUAAUUGGAAUGAGUACAAUUUAAAGCCUUUAACGAGGAACAAUUGGAGGGCAAGUCUGGUGCCAGCAGCCGCGGUAAUUCCAGCUCCAAUAGCGUAUAUUAAAGUUGUUGCAGUUAAAAAGCUCGUAGUUGAACUUUGGAUCUGAGUAACUGGUCCCCCGACUGGGUGUGUACUGGAAAUUCGGAUCUUUCCUCCUGGGGAACCUCAUGCCCUUUAUUGGGUGUGUUGGCAAACCAGGACUUUUACUUUGAAAAAAUUAGAGUGUUCAAAGCAGGCUUUUGCUCGAAUACAUUAGCAUGGAAUAAUAAAAUAGGACGUGCGGUUCUAUUUUGUUGGUUUCUAGGACCGCCGUAAUGAUUAAUAGGGAUAGUCGGGGGCAUCCGUAUUUGAUUGUCAGAGGUGAAAUUCUUGGAUUUUUCAAAGACGAACUACUGCGAAAGCAUUUGCCAAGGAUGUUUUCAUUAAUCAGGAACGAAAGUUGAGGGAUCGAAGACGAUCAGAUACCGUCGUAGUCUCAACCAUAAACUAUGCCGACUAGGGAUCGGGCGAUGUUUUUAAUUUGACUCGCUCGGCACCUUGCGAGAAAUCAUAAGUCUUUGGGUUCUGGGGGGAGUAUGGUCGCAAGGCUGAAACUUAAAGGAAUUGACGGAAGGGCACCACCAGGAGUGGAGCCUGCGGCUUAAUUUGACUCAACACGGGGAAACUCACCAGGUCCAGACACAUUAAGGAUUGACAGAUUGAGAGCUCUUUCUUGAUUAUGUGGGUGGUGGUGCAUGGCCGUUCUUAGUUGGUGGAGUGAUUUGUCUGCUUAAUUGCGAUAACGAACGAGACCUUAACCUGCUAAAUAGCCGGGCUCGCUUUGCGGG
rnacentral:rRNA from 1 species